rnacentral:rRNA from 2 species
GAUGAACGCUGGCGGCGUGCCUAAUACAUGCAAGUAGAACGCUGAAGGAAGGAGCUUGCUCUUUCCGGAUGAGUUGCGAACGGGUGAGUAACGCGUAGGUAACCUGCCUGGUAGCGGGGGAUAACUAUUGGAAACGAUAGCUAAUACCGCAUAACAGUAGAUGUUGCAUGAUAUCUACUUAAAAGGUGCAAUUGCACCACUACCAGAUGGACCUGCGUUGUAUUAGCUAGUUGGUGAGGUAACGGCUCACCAAGGCGACGAUACAUAGCCGACCUGAGAGGGUGAUCGGCCACACUGGGACUGAGACACGGCCCAGACUCCUACGGGAGGCAGCAGUAGGGAAUCUUCGGCAAUGGACGGAAGUCUGACCGAGCAACGCCGCGUGAGUGAAGAAGGUUUUCGGAUCGUAAAGCUCUGUUGUAAGAGAAGAACGAGUGUGAGAGUGGAAAGUUCACACUGUGACGGUAUCUUACCAGAAAGGGACGGCUAACUACGUGC